rnacentral:rRNA from 1 species
CAGCCGCCGCGGUAAUACGAAGGGGGCGAGCGUUAUUCGGAAUCACUGGGCGUAAAGCGUGCGUAGGCGGUUCUAAAAGUUAGAAGUGAAAGCCCAGGGCUCAACCCUGGAAUUGCUUUUAAAACUAUAGGACUAGAAUUCGGGAGAGGAUAGCGGAAUUGUCAGUGUAGCAGUGAAAUGCGUAGAUAUUGACAGGAACACCAGUGGCGUAAGCGGCCAUCUGGACCGACAUUGACGCUGAGGCACGAAAGCGUGGGGAGCAAACAGGAUUAGAUACCCCCGUAGUCCCUGUCUCUUAUAC